rnacentral:rRNA from 1 species
GAGACAGCAGCAGCCGCGGUAAUACGUAGGGUGCAAGCGUUAAUCGGAAUUACUGGGCGUAAAGCGUGCGCAGGCGGUUAUAUAAGACAGAUGUGAAAUCCCCGGGCUCAACCUGGGAACUGCAUUUGUGACUGUAUAGCUAGAGUACGGCAGAGGGGGAUGGAAUUCCGCGUGUAGCAGUGAAAUGCGUAGAUAUGCGGAGGAACACCGAUGGCGAAGGCAAUCCCCUGGGCCUGUACUGACGCUCAUGCACGAAAGCGUGGGGAGCAAACAGGAUUAGAUACCCCCGUAGUCCCUGUCUCUUAUAC